UGGUGGAGUGAUUUGUCUGGUUAAUUCCGAUAACGAACGAGACCUUAACCUGCUAAAUAGUCCCUGCAUUUUUUUAAUGUAUUGACUUCUUAGAGGGACUUGACAGAUUUACUGUCAGGAAGUUUGAGGCAAUAACA
rnacentral:rRNA from 1 species